rnacentral:sRNA from 1 species
CUUUAGCCCCGAUAGAAGCGGAAAUCCUUGUGAGCUGGGGUUCGGCUCACAAGAUUGUAGUGGAUAGCGGGACAAUAC